AUUGAACGCUGGCGGCAGGCCUAACACAUGCAAGUCGGACGGUAACAGGAAGCAGCUUGCUGCUUCGCUGACGAGUGGCGGACGGGUGAGUAAUGUCUGGGAAACUGCCUGAUGGAGGGGGAUAACUACUGGAAACGGUAGCUAAUACCGCAUAACGUCGCAAGACCAAAGAGGGGGACCUUAGGGCCUCUUGCCAUCGGAUGUGCCCAGAUGGGAUUAGCUAGUAGGUGGGGUAACGGCUCACCUAGGCGACGAUCCCUAGCUGGUCUGAGAGGAUGACCAGCCACACUGGAACUGAGACACGGUCCAGACUCCUACGGGAGGCAGCAGUGGGGAAUAUUGCACAAUGGGCGCAAGCCUGAUGCAGCCAUGCCGCGUGUAUGAAGAAGGCCUUCGGGUUGUAAAGUACUUUCAGCGGGGAGGAAGGGAGUAAAGUUAAUACCUUUGCUCAUUGACGUUACCCGCAGAAGAAGCACCGGCUAACUCCGUG
rnacentral:rRNA from 1 species